rnacentral:piRNA from 1 species
UUUUUUCCUCCCAUGACUUCGCAGAGUCUU